UACGUAGGCAGCGAGCGUUGUUCGGAGUUACUGGGCGUAAAGGGUGUGUAGGCGGUUGUUUUAAGUUUGGUGUGAAAUCUCCCGCUCAACUGGGAGGGUGCGCCGAAUACUGAAUGACUUGGAGUGCGGGAGAGGAGAGUGGAAUUCCUGGUGUAGCGGUGAAAUGCGUAGAUAUCAGGAGGAACACCGGUGGUGUAGACGGCUCUCUGGACCGUAACUGACGCUGAGACACGAAAGCGUGGGUAGCAAACAGG
rnacentral:rRNA from 1 species